rnacentral:rRNA from 1 species
UACGUAGGGCGCAAGCGUUGUCCGGAAUUAUUGGGCGUAAAGAGCUCGUAGGCGGCCUGUUGCGUCCGCUGUGAAAUCCCGGGGCUCAACCCCGGGCCUGCAGUGGAUACGGGCUGGCUAGAGGCAGGCAGGGGAGAACGGAAUUCCUGGUGUAGCGGUGAAAUGCGCAGAUAUCGGGAAGAACACCCGUGGCUAAGGCGGCUCUCUAGUACGGUACUGACGCUGAGACGCGAAAGCGUGGGGAGCGAACAGG